ensembl:lncRNA
UCUGAAAGCUCUGCUGGUUUCGUGUUCAUAGGAAAAUGUAGCUGUCUCUGUGUUACAGGCGAGUCCAUCUCCCAUCGCAUUGACUUGAGCUGGGGACAACAUCACUGAACAGAAAUGACCUGUUACGAGAAAGUGCCCUUCAUUGAAAAUGGCCACACACAACCCAGAGAAGUUUCUCCAGUUAGUGCCUUACUUUGAUCCUAUACUAUUAAGCACUUGUGAUCUUUUGCCAGUGUUUAGCAAUCCUUAAAUCCUGGCCAGGGUUACCAAAUCAAUGCCAUUCUCUUUACUAUUUCAAACACACUUAUGGAGAUGAAAGAUAAAUGUAUAAACACUGCUUUUCAAGCCAAGAGGCAGAGCCACAAUAGCUCACAACAUAAAAGACGGCAAGUGUUGGGUGAAUGAGUGUUUUUCUUGCAGUCGGAAGCAGC